GUCAGGAGAUUAGGAAGCAGCUCCAAGAAACUGACCAGGAGGUCAUGGAAUGGCUAAGAGUGUUCUCAAGUUAUAGGCAGAGGAAGAAGAAGGAGCCAAUGAAGCAGAAGGAAAGAGAGAGUGGUCAGAGGUGUCUUGAUAAAAGACAAAGACUAUCCCAACACUUGCUAGUUAGAUUUUCUGUUUAUGUAGUUUUAUGUGAAUAUACGACUCAAUAAUAAGUCAACGUCAAGCA